CGUAAUAAAAAUACAAUAGAAUUUUCGCGAACGGUUCGGCUUCGAUUUUGAUGAAACUUCAUACACUUAUAAAGCAGCCAAAAAUAAUCGACACUUUUUUUAGCUGCGGUAACUCGUUUAAGGAAUGAAACCACCCCUUGAAGUUUUGGCUCGA